rnacentral:rRNA from 1 species
AUUUCCGGAGUAGCGGUAAAAUGCGCAGAUAUCGGAAGGUACACCAGUGGCGAAAGCGACUCCCUGGGGCGCGACUGACGCUAAGAGUCGAAAGCUAGGGGAGCGAACAGGAUUAGAGACCCUGGUAGUCCUAGCCCUGAACGAUGGAUGCUAGGUGUGGGACGUAAAGUUCCGUGCCGGAGCCUACGCGAUAAGCAUCCCGCCUGGGGACUACGGUCGCAAGGCUAAAACUCAAACGAAUUGACGGGGACCCGCACAAGCAGCGGAGCGUGUGGUUCAAUUCGAUGCUACACGAAGAACCUUACCUGGGUUUGACAUGUACGUGGUAGAGAAGCGAAAGCGGAUUGACCCUUCGGGGAGCGUACACAGGUGCUGCAUGGCUGUCGUCAGCUCGUGCCGUGAGGUGUCGGGUUAAGUCCCGUAACGAGCGCAACCCUUAUCCUUAGUUGCACGUAUCUAGGGAGACUGCCGGCGGGAAGCCGGAGGAAGGUGGGGAUGACGUCAAGUCAGCAUGGCCCUUAUGUCCAGGGCUACACACACGCUACAAUGGCCGGUACCAAAAGGCUAGCAAAAGUCGCGAAGGCGGGAGCGAAAUCCCAAACAAAAGCCCGGUCAGUAGUUCAGGAUUGCAGGGCUGCAACUCGCAUGCAUGAAGCUGGAGUUGCUAGUAACCGCGCGUCAGCUAUAGUGCGGUGAAUACGUACCCGGGUCUUGUACACACCGCCCGUCACGUCAUGGAAGUCGGUUACGCCUGAAGGCGGUAGCAUAGCUCGGAAGAGGGGGCGCUGUCGAAGGCAGGACUGGCAACUGGGACGAAGUCG